rnacentral:rRNA from 1 species
GGAUGAAGUCAUACCAGCCCUAAUGCACCAGAUCCCAUCAGAACUCCGAAGUUAAGCGUGCUUGGGCGAGAGUAGUGCUAGGAUGGGUGACAACCUAAGAAGUCCUCUUGUUGCAUCCA